rnacentral:rRNA from 1 species
GGAAGCCUACGGGGGGCAGCAGUCGGGAAUAUUGCGCAAUGGAGGAAACUCUGACGCAGUGACGCCGCGUAUAGGAAGAAGGUUUUCGGAUUGUAAACUAUUGUCGUGAGGGAAGAAAUUGACAGUACCUCAGGAGGAAGCUCCGGCUAACUAUGUGCCAGCAGCCGCGGUAAUACAUAGGGAGCAAGCGUUAUCCGGAUUUAUUGGGUGUAAAGGGUGCGUAGACGGGAAAUUAAGUUAGUUGUGAAAUCCCUCGGCUUAACUGAGGAACUGCAACUAAAACUGGUUUUCUUGAGUGAAGUAGG